CGGCGUCCAUGAUGUUUUACAAUUACCUACAUUGUUUGAUCCUCAUGAAAACAGCCCUGGCUGAGACGCCU